rnacentral:rRNA from 1 species
UACGGAGGGGGCUAGCGUUGUUCGGAAUUACUGGGCGUAAAGCGCACGUAGGCGGCUUUGCAAGUUAGAGGUGAAAGCCCGGGGCUCAACCCCGGAAUUGCCUUUAAAACUGCGUCGCUAGAAUUGUGGAGAGGUAAGUGGAAUUCCGAGUGUAGAGGUGAAAUUCGUAGAUAUUCGGAAGAACACCAGUGGCGAAGGCGACUUACUGGACACAUAUUGACGCUGAGGUGCGAAAGCGUGGGGAGCAAACAGG